AUCUACGGCCAUACCACCCUGAACGCGCCCGAUCUCGUCUGAUCUCGGAAGCUAAGCAGGGUCGGGCCUGGUUAGUACUUGGAUGGGAGAAAUAUAGGCAUUUUAUUAA
rnacentral:rRNA from 1 species